rnacentral:tRNA from 1 species
GCCUUCGUGGUGUAGUGGUCAGCACACUCAACGCGUAACCCAGAGGUCUUGGUUCGAUUUCCGGCGAAGGCG